ACCGUAUAUACUCGUGUAUAAGUCGAUCUCAUGUAUAAGUCGAGUGCAGUUUUGUGACCAACAAUUUUGUGAAAUAUGCUAUACCUUGUGGAUAAGUCGAGGGUAAAACCUGGGGCUAUGAAAUUCUGUGAUUUUUAUAAUUAUAUACACACACACUCAUACAAACACACACUCUGCAUUAUAUACACACACACACACUCAUACAAACACACACUCUGC